GUGGGGAAUAUUGGACAAUGGGGGGAACCCUGAUCCAGCCAUGCCGCGUGUGUGAAGAAGGCCUUUUGGUUGUAAAGCACUUUAAGCGAGGAGGAGGCUACCGAGAUUAAUACUCUUGGAUAGUGGACGUUACUCGCAGAAUAAGCACCGGCUAACUCUGUGCCAGCAGCCGCGGUAAUACAGAGGGUGCAAGCGUUAAUCGGAUUUACUGGGCGUAAAGCGCGCGUAGGUGGCCAAUUAAGUCAAAUGUGAAAUCCCGGGGCUUAACUUGGGAAUUGCAUUCGAUACUGGUUGGCUAGAGUAUGGGAGAGGAUGGUAGAAUUCCAGGUGUAGCGGUGAAAUGCGUAGAGAUCUGGAGGAAUACCGAUGGCGAAGGCAGCCAUCUGGCCUAAUACUGACACUGAGGUGCGAAAGCAUGGGGAGCAAACAGGAUUAGAUACCCUUGUAGUCC
rnacentral:rRNA from 1 species